rnacentral:lncRNA from 1 species
UCAAAUUACACUACCAAAGGCUUUUCAGAGUUUCGCUUGAGAGAUCGAAGCCUAUUCCAAGGUUUUUCGGGGUGUCGCUGGAGAGGCCAAGGCCAAUGCCACAAGCGCAAGGCGUGGCCAUGGCAUGAGUUAGGACGUCCCAGGACAUAGCUGGGCGUGGCCAUCGCACGGGCCAGGACGUGUCAGUAUGUCGCAGGACAUGACAGGACACGGGCGGGACGUGUCAGAACGUCGCAGGACAUGGUAGGGCGUGGCCAUGGAAAGACUCAAGAUGUGUCAGGACGCGUCAAGAAAUGGCCAUGGCACGCGCCAGGACCCGUCUGGGCAUGUCCAUGACACGAGUCAGGACAUCGCAGGACAAGGCAGGGCGUGGCCAUGGCACGAGUCAGGACAUGCCAGGGCGUCGCCAUGGCAAGAGUUAGGACGUUGCAGGACGCGUCAAGACUUGGCCAUGGCACGUGUCAGGACGCAUUAGGACAUGGCAAUGGCACGUGUCAGGACAGGGCAGGGCGUGGCCAUGGCACGAGUCAGGACGUCGCAGGACAUGUCAAGACAUAGCCAUGGUAGAUAUCAGGACGCAUCAAGACAGGGCCAUGGCACGUGUCAGGACGCGUCAGGACAUGGAAGGGUGUGGCCAUGGAACAAGUAGGGACGUUGCAGUACAUGGCAGUGCCCCUAAUUACUAUCCAACGAAACCACAGCCAAGGCAACGGGCUUGGCAGAAUCAGCGGGCAAAGAAGACCCUGUUGAGCUUGACUCUAGUCUGACUUUGUGAAAUGACUUGAGAGGUGUAGUAUAAGUGUGAGACGAAAGGUGAAUGUUAAAUACUUAUUCCGUGAAUCGGAAACAGGGCACUAUGUCACGGGAUGAGUAUUUUGCGGACAUGUCAGGACGCGUCAAGACAUGCCCAUGGCAAGUGUCAGGACGUGUCAGGACAUGGCAGGGCGUGUCCAUGGCACGAGUCAGGACAUCAUAGAAUAUGGCAGUGCGUGGCCAUGGCACGAGUCGAGACAUCGCAAAGCAUGGCAGGGUGUGGCCAUGGCAUGAGUCAGGACAUUUCGGGACGCAUCACGACAUGGCUAUGGCACAUAUCAGGACACGUCAGGACAUGGCAGUGGCACGUGUCAGGACAUAGUAGGGCGUGGCCAUGGUAUCACUCAUGACGUCUCAGGACAUGGCAUGAGAUGGGACGUCGAAGGACGCGUCAGGACAUGGCCAUGGCACGUGUCAGGACGCGUCAAGACAUGGUAGUGGCACGUGUCAAGAUGCGUCAGGUUAUAGCAGGGCGUGGCCAUGGCAUGACUCAUGACAUUGCAGGACAUGGCAGGGCGUGUCCAUGGCACGAGUUGGGACGCCGCAAGACGCGUGAGGACAUGGCCAUGGUACGCGGCAGGACGCGUCAGGACAUGCCCAUGCCCAUGGCACGUGUCAGGAUGCGUCCUGGCACGAGUCGGGACGUCACAGGACAUGGAAAGUCGUGGCCAUGGCAUGAGUUGGGACGUCGUAGGAUGCGUCAAGACAUGGCCAUGGUACGUGUCAGGACGCGUCAGGACAUGGCCAUGGAACGUGUGAGAAUGCGUCAGGACAUGGCAGAGCGUGGGAAUGGCACGAGUCGGGACGUCACAGGACGUAGCAAGGGGUGUCCAUGGCACGAGUCAGGACGCCGCAGGACGCGUCAGGACAUGGCCAUGGCACGUGUCAGGACGCAUCAUGACAUGGCCAUGGCACGUGUCAGGACGCGUCAGGACAUGGCAGGGUAUGGCCAUGGCACGAGUCGGGAGGUCACAAGACAUGGCAGGGUGUAGCCAUGGCACUAGUCAGGACGUUGCAGGACGCGUCAGGACAGGGCCAUGGCACAUGCCAGGGCAUGCCAGAUACGCGAUAGGGCACGAGUCAGGACGUUGCAAAACAUGGCAGGAUAUGGCCAUGGUACGUGUCAGGACGUGUCAAAACAUGGCCAUGGCACGACGAUGCACCAAGCCGCACCACAUCGCUCCAAGUCGUACCACGUCACACCACGUCUAUUUCUAGCCAAUGCUUAGAAACAUGUCAAGCGCAAUGAUGUUGGUGAUCGUUGGCAGCGGCGGUGGAAAGUUGGGGUGGUUCGAGUGGUGGAGUCCUGCAACGGUCGGUCGGUCGGUCGACGCUUGGUGGUUGGCGACGAUUGCUUCAAAUCCUAAUCACUUGUUGUUGUAGGGCAACAUGUGAAGAGCAAUGAUGUUGGUGGUCGUUGGUAGCGGUGGUGGAAAGUCGCGGUUGUUCGAGCGGUAUCCACCGAGGACGGUUGGUCGACGCUUUGUGGUUGGCGGCGGUUUUUUCAAAUCGGAAUCCGUUUUUGUGGUUGCGACAAUGGAGGUGCCUCGUGCUUAUUGGCAGUUGGUCAUCUAUAUGCUUUUAUAGUAAUAUUAUGUAUUUUUCCUUUGUUUAAUAUAUAUUUCAAGUAAUAUUUAUGCUUUUUUUGUUAUUUUAACUUAUUUUUUUCACUUUUCAAUAAAAAUAUUUACUCUUUUAUAUCUAAUACUAUUACAAGAUGUAUUGGAAUUUUUAUCCAUCAUUUUUUCUAUUGUUAUAAUAAUUUUCAUAUUUUUUAGUAUUUUAUUAAGUAUUUUUUAUUUUUAAAUAAAAAUAUUUAAAAAAAAUAUUUUUUUUGUAAAAAUUGUCAUUUACAAUGUAUAAAAGUCAUUUGUGAAUAUAUUAGCCAAGUUGUAAUUUGGUUUGUGCUAUUUGGUGUUGUACAUGUCAAUUAUGAUUCUCUAGCCAAAACAUGUCUACUCCUGAAACUUGGUUUUUUUUUAAGCAUAUAUAAGGGGGUAGAGGUGUUGAGAGGCACCUCAGGUGCUUGCUGCCAGGAUGGGGCGGGCAUGCAUGAGGGACGUUGGCAUAGGUCGUGGGCAUUGGGGGCAUGCACGGCUUGUCCGUGCUACGUCCUCGAUGUUCCCAAACCGCGCCGGUAGGUACUCGUGUUGGCUUUUAGUACGCCUGGUGGUGGCACCGCUCGUGGCAAACAUUGGCUUUUGGCAACGAACGGUGGAGCAACAUGCAAGUAGCUCCCCAAGGUGCCGUGCGCAUGGGGCGAAACUCAGUACUUGUUGAUCACCAUUGGAUGUUGCGGGAAACAUCGGGAGGCGACAUCGCUCGUGGAGGCUGAUGGCUUUUGGCAACAGAAUGGCAAAACAUCGUUCAAGUAGAGCUGCAAGGUGCUGUACGCAUGGGGCAAAUCUUAGCAAGUUGUUGAUUGCCAUUGGUUGUUGUGGGUUGUGUCUGGAAUCUCUCGUGGCGACUGAUGGCUUUCGACAACGAACGGCAGAGCGUCGUUCAAGUAGCGCCGCAAGGUGCCUGUGCAUGGGGCGAAGCUCACUAGAUGUCGAUUGCCAUCGAUUAUUGCGGGCAACAUCGCUCAUGGCGGUUGAUGGCUUUCGGCAAUGGAACGGCGGAGCGUCGUGCGAGUAUCGUUGCAAGGUGACGUGCGCAUGGGGUGAAGCUUAGUAAGUUGCCUAUUGCCACCAAUUUUUGUGGGUUGUGUCUGUAAACCCCCCUCCAUGGCAGCUUAUGGCUUUUGACAACGAACGGCGGAGCAUCAUGCAAGUAGCGCCACAAGGGGCGAAGCUCAGUAGAUGUUCAUUGCCAUCGGUUGUUGCGGGAAACAACAGGAGGCGACAUCGCUCGUGGCGGCUGAUGGCUUUUGGCAAUAAAAUGGUAAAGCAUCAUGCACGCAAGGUGCCAUGCACACGAAGCAAAGCUUAGUAACUUGCUAAUUGCCAUCGGUUGUUGUGGGCAACAUUGCGAGGCGACAUCGCUCAUGGCGGCUGAUGGUUUUUGGCAACAAAAUGGCAAAGCAUCGUGCAAGUAGCGCCUCAAUGGGCUGUGCGCACAGGGCAAAGCUUAGUAAGUUUCCGAUUUCCAUCGGUUGUUGUUGGCAACAUCGGGAGGCGACAUCGCUUGUGGCGGCUGAUGGAUUUUGGCAACAAAUUACAAAGCAACGUGCAAGUAACACCACAAUGUGCAGCGCUCACGGGGCGAAGCUUAGUAAGUUGCAGAUUUCCAUCAGUUGUUGCGGGAAAAAUCGGAAGGUCACAUCGCUCGUGGUGGCUGAUGGAUUUUUGCAAUGGAAUGGAAACGCAUCGUGCGAGUAGCGCCGCAAGGUGCCAUGCGCAUGGGGCGAAGCUCAGUAAAUUGCCUAUUUCCAUCGGUUGUGUGGGUUGUGUCUGGCAUUGUUCAAACCCCCUAUUCGUGCUUUUCGGGGCUUCUCUUGGCUUUGCAUUGUUGGCAUCGGCAACAACACAUGGAUGCGCGUCACGUGUUGGAGCUAGUGUUGGCUUUGUAUCGGCAAGGCAAGUGUACGUGCGGCACAUGAGUUGUGUUCGGCUUGUGUGGCUAGGUUGGAUCCUUGCUGGAGCAGCGACGUUCUAGCUCGCAUACCAUCUCAGUCAUGUAACAAGCACAUUUUAGGCUUGUUCGACGUCGGUAUUAUGUGUUGCAUACCUGAUGCCAAGUCAUUAUCAAGCGCAAUUGGUCACCUUUGCCCCUUGCGUUCGACGUGCGGGGAGAACAAAAAGCUGCAUUUGUGUCCCAGGUCGCCCUGGCUUCGCCUUGCGAUGGCUUAGUCCAUGACUUAGCAUGCUCGGGCUCUCGAAUUUGGUAAACGCAAUGGGCACGGGGCCUUCAUUGGCUCCUAUCUGCCACAAGAAUGCUCCUUACGAAUGAUGGUCGUGCUCGCCUUGGACUUGGCCAUGCCAUUUUGCGUCGUCCACGCUCAUGCGACGCCGGCGUCAAUGAGAAAUGCUACCUGGUUGAUCCUCGAAUAGUCAUAUGCUUGUCUCAAAGAUUAAGCCAUGCAUGUGUAAGUAUGAACAAAUUCAGACUAUCGGCCGCGCUCAUGUGAUGCCGGCGUCAAUGAGGAAUGCUACCUGAUUGAUCCUUCUAGUAGUCAUAUGCUUGUCUCAAAGAUUAAGCCAUGCAUGUGUAAGUAUGAACAAAUUUAGACUGUGAAACUGCGAAUGGCUCAUUAAAUCAGUUAUAGUUUGUUUGAUGGUAUCUACUACUCAGAUAACCGUAGUAAUUCUAGAGCUAAUACGUGCAAAAAACCCCGACUUCUGGAAGGGAUGCAUUUACUAGAUAAAAG